rnacentral:rRNA from 1 species
CUGAUCAGCAAUGCCGCGUGUGUGAAAGAAGGCCUGCGGGUUGUAAACCACUUUCAGCGGGGACGAAAAGCGCGUGAUUAAUACCCGCGCGUAUUGACCUUACCCGCACAAGAAACACCGGCUAACUCCAUGCCAGCAGCCACGGUAAUACGGAAGGUGCGAGCGUUAAUCGGAAUUACUGGGCUUAAAGCGCGCGUAGGCAGUUCCGUAAGUCAAAUGUGAAACCCCCGGGCUAAACCUGGGAAUGGCAUUUGAUACUGCCAGACUCGAAUCUGGGAGAGGGAAGGGGAAUUCCGGGAGUAGCGGAGAAAUGCCUAUAUAUCCGGAGGAACACCGGUGGCGAACGCACCUUCAUGACCUAAAACUGACGCUGAGGUGCGAAAUCGUGAGGAUCAAACAGGAUGACAUACCCUGGUAGUCCACGCCGUAGACGCUGAGAACUAACCGUUGGGUUCAUUUACGAACUUAGUGGCGCAGCUAGCGCGAUAAGUUCUCCGCCUGGGGAGUACGGCACCUUGGUUGAAACUCAAG